ensembl:snoRNA
UGUCCCUGACUUGGGUAGAGUGGUGUCUGAUUGGUGGUGCCCAUCUCAUAUCAGCCAGGAGCAAAGCAACCCCUGUUCAUCCCAGCUUGGCUUUUGAUCUGUGUCCAUGCCUGGUUCAUUCUUUGGACACAUAG